rnacentral:rRNA from 1 species
AGCCUUUAGCCCAAAACAUAUUAAAGGUGUUGCCUGCCCAAUGAGGGCAAACCCCUUAAACGGCCGCGUUAUAACCGUGCAAAGGUAGCAAAAUCAUUUGUCCCCCAAAUAGGGACCCGUAUGAACGGCUACAUGAGAGAGGGACUGUCUCUCUAGGCCGGCCAAUGAACCUGAACUGCCUGUAAAAAUGCAGGCGUACAAAAACAAGACAAAAAGACCCUGUGAAACUUUAAAUGUCCAUCAACCAAUGAUUAAGACAUUUUUGGUUGGGGCAACCAAAGAGAAAUACUAAUCUCGAAUCCUGCCACACGGCAAACAAGCCAACUGACACCCACAACAGAUCCAGUACAACUGAUUUAAGAACCAAGCUACUCCAGGGAUAACAGCGCUACAUUCUUUAAGAGUCCAUAUCAGAAAGAAUACUUACGACCUCGAUGUUGGAUUGGGGUAUCCCAAUGGCGCAAAAGCUAUUAAGGGCUCGUUUGUUCAACGAUUAAAAUCCC